rnacentral:rRNA from 1 species
GGCUGACGAGUGGCGGACGGGUGAGUAAUGCUUAGGAAUCUGCCCAGUAGCGGGGGACAACCUGGUGAAAACCAGGCUAAUACCGCAUACGCCCUACGGGGGAAAGCAGGGGAUCUUCGGACCUUGCACUAUUGGAUGAGCCUAAGUCAGAUUAGCUUGUUGGUGGGGUAAUGGCCUACCAAGGCGACGAUCUGUAGCUGGUCUGAGAGGACGAUCAGCCACACUGGAACUGAGACACGGUCCAGACUCCUACGGGAGGCAGCAGUGGGGAAUAUUGCACAAUGGGCGCAAGCCUGAUGCAGCAAUGCCGCGUGUGUGAAGAAGGCCUGCGGGUUGUAAAGCACUUUCAGUAAGGAGGAAAAGUAUGUAGUUAAUAACUGCGUACCCUGACGUUACUUACAGAAGAAGCACCGGCUAACUCCGUGCCAGCAGCCGCGGUAAUACGGAGGGUGCGAGCGUUAAUCGGAAUUACUGGGCGUAAAGCGUGCGUAGGCGGCACGGUCAGUCGGAUGUGAAAGCCCAGGGCUUAACCUUGGAAUUGCAUUCGAUACUGCCGAGCUAGAGUAUGUUAGAGGAAAGUGGAAUUCCCGGUGUAGCGGUGAAAUGCGUAGAUAUCGGGAGGAACAUCAGUGGCGAAGGCGACUUUCUGGAUCAAUACUGACNCUNAGGUACNAAAGCGUGGGGAGCAAACAGGAUUAGAUACNCCUGGUAGUCCACGCCCUAAACGAUGUCAACUA